rnacentral:rRNA from 1 species
UGGGGAAUAUUGGACAAUGGGCGCAAGCCUGAUCCAGCCAUGCCGCGUGUGUGAAGAAGGCCUUAUGGUUGUAAAGCACUUUAAGCGAGGAGGAGGCUACUUUAGUUAAUACCUAGAGAUAGUGGACGUUACCGACAGAAUAAGCACCGGCUAACUCUGUGCCAGCAGCCGCGGUAAUACAGAGGGUGCAAGCGUUAAUCGGAAUUACUGGGCGUAAAGCGCGCGUAGGUGGUUCGUUAAGUUGAAUGUGAAAGCCCCGGGCUCAACCUGGGAACUGCAUCCAAAACUGGCGAGCUAGAGUAGGGCAGAGGGUGGUGGAAUUUCCUGUGUAGCGGUGAAAUGCGUAGAUAUAGGAAGGAACACCAGUGGCGAAGGCGACCACCUGGGCUCAUACUGACACUGAGGUGCGAAAGCGUGGGGAGCAAACAGG